UGCAAUUUUAGAAUAAGUGUUUCUGACUUCAUCUUUUAGAAAGCACCAAGUAAUCUGAUUUGUGAAUGUGCUCGAAGAGCCAAGAAAUCAACGUUCAACAACUCCCAGACUGCACUUCUGAGUCAGGGUAAGAACCAAGUCUCAAGGAGGGGACAUGACCAUCAAGAAUGCCGGCAGCAGAUGGUAAACCGGACGCACCUGUCUAUCUGGACUCCACCUCCCCUCUCUGAGUACUGCUGAUUUGUGUGAAGCCUGUGUUCCAAUGGUACCCAGCAUAGGAGCCACCCAGGUCACUGGCUUAGCUCUAGCCCACUAGCAAAGUCGGCUGGACUUGUUAACAGGGACCAGACUGUGCGGACCGGGUAGAGGCAGCAGUUCUGGGACUGGAACCCCCGUGGAGUCCUGCAGCUUCCAAAGACAAACGACAGAGCCAGAUUUGGGGCUUCCCGCCUCAGUGGACAGGUGGUCACAGCCUUCAGCCUGGGCUCCAGGAGGAAUCACAAGCAAGACACUCUGCUAGGUGCUGUUGACACUGAGACACAGACAAGCAGGAAUGGAAGGAAGAGACCUGAAGCCAGUGAGUGUAGAUGCCAUGGGUUGUGGGGGUCUACCAAGGAUGUCCUCACAGUGGGUAGCCCCACACAUAGGGGACCCCUAAUCCAGGAGGUGUCACCUCUAUAGGCCUCAGAAGGGCAGGUCCUCAUUCCCAUCUAUGUCCCAUUGCAGGGUCUGUCCAAUGAGCUGGGCCUACUCCAUCCUAAUGUAGCAUCCUUUCCCUACAUGUCACCCUUGGGUCACCUUACUCCAGAAGUAAGCUCAUCUCUUCCUAGUCCCAGAGUCCUUAGCUGGGUCUAGAGUCUAGGCAGCCCUAAGGAGGUGAGGGACUAAUGGGCUGAUGAGCCCCUUUCCUUGGGGUUGAAGACCAACAACAAUUGGAGUCCCUGUAAUGGGGGUCAACCCAGGCAAUAGGGUAUGGAACAUAAGACGGCACUGGUGAGGGUCCAGGUGCCAUGGAGGCUUAGGGGAGGUUGGGUGGAACCUUCCAGAUGGUUCUAA
rnacentral:lncRNA from 1 species